rnacentral:rRNA from 1 species
CUCGUAGGCGGCCAACUAAGUCGGACGUGAAAUCCCUCAGCUCAACUGGGGAACUGCGUCUGAUACUGGAUGGCUUGGAUUUGGGAGAGGGAUGCGGAAUUCCAGGUGUAGCGGUGAAAUGCGUAGAUAUCUGGAGGAACACCGGUGGCGAAGGCGGCAUCCUGGACCAAUAUUGACGCUGAGGAGCGAAAGCCAGGGAGCAAACG